CUGGCAAGCUAGAGUACAGUAGGGGUAGAGGGAAUUCCCAGUGUAGCGGUGAAAUGCGUAGAGACUGGGAAGAACACCGGUGGCGAAAGCGCUCUACUGGGCUGUAACUGACGCUGAGGGACGAAAGCUAGGGUAGCGAAAGGGAUUAGAUACCCCUGUAGUCUUAGCUGUAAACGAUGGAGACUAGGCGUGGCUUGUAUCGACCCGGGCCGUGCCGAAGCCAACGCGUUAAGUCUCCCGCCUGGGGAGUACGCACGCAAGUGUGAAACUCAAAGGAAUUGACGGGGGCCCGCACAAGCGGUGGAGUAUGUGGUUUAAUUCGAUGCAACGCGAAGAACCUUACCAAGGCUUGACAUCCCGCGAAUCCUGGUGAAAGCCGGGAGUGCCUUCGGGAGCGCGGAGACAGGUGGUGCAUGGCUGUCGUCAGCUCGUGUCGUGAGAUGUUGGGUUAAGUCCCGCAACGAGCGCAACCCUUGUCCUUAGUUGCCAGCAUUCAGUUGGGCACUCUAGGGAGACUGCCGGUGACAAACCGGAGGAAGGUGGGGAUGACGUCAAGUCAUCAUGCCCCUUACGUCUUGGGCUACACACGUACUACAAUGGUUGGGACAACGGGCAGCGAAGCGGCAACGCCGAGCGAAUCCCAGCAAACCCAGCCUCAGUUCAGAUCGCAGGCUGCAACUCGCCUGCGUGAAGGAGGAAUCGCUAGUAAUCGCAGGUCAGCAUACUGCGGUGAAUUCGUUCCCGGGCCUUGUACACACCGCCCGUCACACCA
rnacentral:rRNA from 1 species